rnacentral:rRNA from 1 species
UUUAGUUUUAUAGGGGGAAAAGUGAAAAUAUUAUAUUUUAUUAUUGUAGAGGGGAGGCUAUAAUAAUAAAAUAUAAUAAAAAAUUCAUUUAUUGUACCUUUUGUAUCAGGGUUGAUUUAUACUUAGGUUUAAGAAUUUUUUCUCGACAAAAAAAGAUUUAAACAACUAAAGUGCUAAUGUUUUAUUAUUAAUCUUUAUAGUUGUUUAGUUUUGAAAAAAAUCAAGAUUUUUUUUAUCUAGUUACUUUUUAGUUGAUUUAAUCAGUUUUAUUUUUGUGAUUUAUUGGUGAGAAUAAAUAAUAACUUUAGGGAUAAGCUUAAAUUUUAAUUUUUAGCCCUAUUUUUGUAGUAAUUUUGUAAGUUUAGAAUUAGCAAAUUUUUUAAUAUUUAAAAAUCAACUUAAUUUUUUUAAUAAUUUAAUAGUGGCUUUAAGGGGAGGUAAAGUUGCUUAAUUUAAUUAUGAGAUUAAGAUAAAAAUGAUUAAAUUAGUAGAAUAAAAAAGUGUAGGUUAAGAAUUCGGCAUUAUUAAUUUUUGACUGUUUAACAAAAACAUUUCUGAGGGGAAAAUGUUUUUGGUAUAACCUGCUCAAUGCUUUUUGUAAAUAGCUGCAGUAUUUUGACUGUACAAAGGUAGCAUAAUCAUUAGUCUUUUGAUUGGAGGCUUGUAUGAAUGGUUGAACAGAAAAUUAACUUUUUUAGUUGCACGAAGUUUUAAUUUGUAGUUUAUGUAAAAAUGCAUAAUUAUUUAAAAGGGACGAUAAGACCCUAUAGAAUUUAAAAAUAAUUUUGAAGAUAAAUUUUUUUGUUGGGGUGACAAUAAAUAAACUUUUAUAAUAUUUUCAUUGAUGAGUGGUUUAAUGAUCCUGUAUUUUAGAUAAAAAGAUAAAAUUACCUUAGGGAUAACAGCAUAAUUUUUUUUAAAAGAUCUUAUUAGUAAAAAAGAUUAUGACCUCGAUGUUGAAUUAAAAUAAGAUUUUGGUGUAGAAGCUAAAUUCUUUAGUCUGUUCGACUUUAUAUUUUACAUGAUUUGAGUUCAGACCGGCGUGAGCCAGGUUGGAUUCUAUCUUUUUAAUUAUUUUAUGAUUUAGUACGAAAGGACCAAUUAUAUUAAUUUUUAUUGUGCAUGUUGAGUAAAAUUAACAUUAAUC